rnacentral:lncRNA from 1 species
UUGUGAGUAGUCUAACACGAAUCUAAGCCGUUAGCAUCCACCAAGCCUCGCCUUCAUAGUGUUGCCGGCCAUGGUUGCCUCCAUCUCAUGUCCCUCCUCCUCCCCUCUCUACGUCUCCCUAAAACUCCCACUGAAGGCCAUCCCUCGAGCCCGCCUCCUCCCCUCUCUACGUCUCCCUAAAACUCCCACUGAAGGCCAUCCCUCGAGCCCGCCUCUUGGGUGUUUCACUGGUGAAGCGCUUUACUUAUCCACAAUCGCCUACCUAUCUUGAUAAAUUACAGGUUCAAUGGUAAGGAAAAACAGGGAAACACAUUUCCUAUCUCUGGCCACUCACAGUCACUAUACACCCAUCUCAUCAAAAACUGUAGUAGAAGGACUGAAUGGAUCUGGAAAGCAUGGUUAAGCUAGGACUCAUUAGUAAGUUGUUUUCAUCAACUUAAAGCGCUACUAUUAAUUUAAGCCGCAUGUGCAAUCACACUCAAUUGUAAACAAUUAUCUACUUAUUGCAUCUGCAUGGGCUACCCUAAACCUACAUAUGUAUUUUCAUUGUUGCGAAGAUGUUAUGGCAUGGACUAAACAAUGAUUUGCUUUCUAAACCACUUGUUUAUUGCACUAGCCAUGCAGUAUAUAUGGACUAAACAGUUUUCAUGCAAAGUGUAAUGGAGUGUGUGCUCGUCAUGGACAAGGUCUAUUGAGAGUUCUGAUAUUGAAAGGGGAAAAUCGAUGUUUUACAUUAUGAUGAUGUUGGUUGAUCUACAAGCUUACACGGGAUCUGAGAAUAACGUUAUGGGAACUGGCCCUCGACACAACUAAAGCGCCCAUAUUGAGGGCACCCAAAACCAAGUACAUACUAUGCAUGUUUGAUGGGUAAUAAGAUGAACAAUAAAUUGAUUUUAAGGUGAGGCAUCCACUCCUUUGACAAAGAUGUUGAUUCGAAAUGGUCUGAACUAAAUGGACUUAGUACUUACGUUAACAUCUUGACUCGAUCUAGAAAAACAUGUAAACAAGGCCUAGAGUACAUUACUAUAUGUGCUUGGUAUUCUCAGUGGCCGGGGUGGGAUGCCGACGGCCUCUUGUACUCUCCCUAGCUCGCUCCACCACGAACAAUACAACCAUGACAGCGAAGCCCACAUAUCUUUACCUAGUUAAUGCUUUGUUCACUUCCUUUUAUAUACAUCCAUUUCCCUGCUUCAUUUGAGCAAGCAAAAGAUCCCGCCCAUCUUACUUAUCCAUAUGUUAUGCUUUGGUAUCACAUAUCUAUAUUUGCAUUUGUAUAUGUCAAUGAGGAUGGAAAAUC